rnacentral:lncRNA from 1 species
CUGUCAGACAACCAUGUAGCCAUGCCAGGACCCAUCAGAUGGAUUGGCAACGAUCAUCUACUGAGCCAUAGCCGAGACCAUGAAGCUCUGUUAAUCACGCUCUGGCUACAUGGUCGUGAUUCAUCAACCAGACAUGGGUUUCUGUCUUCUUAGGAAUCAAGAAUACAGAGGUACGAGCAUAUAGAACAGAUCCUGUUCAAGUAAGGUCGUGCUUAAUGGUCUCAACAACCAGAAUACAACGCCGAUUUAUCUGCACUUCAGAGGCGAUGUGGGAUGUCGCUUCUAGAUUCUUGGGUCUCCUUUGUUACCUUGUGUAUAGGGACUGGUAAGAAAUUAAGUGGAACUAAUUCACACACGUUUUAAUCUUUACUUACUUUUUAACUGUCUAUAUUUUUGGACAUUUCUCCCUCACUAAAUUAAAAAUAGAGAAAAUGACAAAAAUAGCCAUUUACACUAAUGAGAUUACAAAAAUAGCAAAAAUAAAAAAAAAUCAAAAUUAGAAAAUUAGCCCACAAUUUCGCAGAUGGAGAUGCCCCAUCUGCGAAAUCAGCAUCUCAUCUGCGAAUGUACAAGCACCUAAAGCAGAACUGUGCUUUAGGUGCUUUUAAUUUUUUUUUUUUUUUUUUUUUUAUAAGGGUAAUUUCGCAGAUGGAAUAGGUCCAUCUGCGAUUUACUCUCAUUCUAUUUGCGAAAUUGUGGUUUUUUUUUUGUAUUUUUUUUAGUUUGACUAUAAAAUGAAUUGGUUUGACUAUGAAAUCAUGUUGCUAUAUAAAAAGUUUUGUAGAAAAAUAUCAUUUUGGUUGAUAUUUGUUUAGGAACUUUCUCUACAAUUUGCUCAAAAAAUGAUUGAAUAUUUGGUUUGUCUUGUAACCGGUGGGAGAUGGCAAGUUAAUGGAACUUGAUUUAUAUAACAACCAAAAUGAUAUUUUUCUACAAAACUUUUAUAUAGCAACAUGAUUUCGUAGUCAAACCAAUUCAUUUCAUAGUCAAACUAAAAAAAAUACAAAAAAAAAUCACAAUUUCGCAGAUAGAAUGAGAGUAAAUCGCAGAUGGACCUAUUCCAUCUGCGAAAUUACCCCUAUAUAUACAGAAAAAAAAUUAAAAAAAAAAAUUAAAAGCACCUGCGAAUGUACAAGCACCUAAAGCACAGCUGUGCUUUAGGUGCUUGUACAUUCGCAGAUGAGAUGCUCAUUUCGCAGAUGGGGCAUCUCCAUCUGCGAAAUCGUAGGCUAAUUUUGUAAUUUCGAUUUUUUUGGCUAUUUUUGUAAUGCAAUUAGUAUAAAUGGCUAUUUUUGUCAUUUUCUCUUAAAAAUAUUAUAAUUAUAAUUAUUAAUAAAUCUAUCUCAAGUUAAUAUUUUAUUAAUAGAUAUUAUCUAUUUAUCUUUCUCUUUUGCGUAUAAUCAUAUAUAGUUUGAGUAUUUCAAUUUCUGUUAUUUAUUAGUUAUUACAAAUUUUAUCGUUUUUAAGAUUACAAAAAAAAUAAUUUUUUUUUAUUUUAAGAUUAACUAAAAUUUCAUAAAAAUUGCUUAUCAAUAUAAAAUCAGUAUUAGGGACAUUGGGAAUUUAAUUGCUCACAAUGUUAAAAGCUAUGCUUGACAUAAUAACUUAAAAAUUAACUAAUAGCUAAAAAGUUAAUUGAUAAUAUAUAGGCUAACUGAUAAAAAAUAACAUUUGCUAAAAAUAAUUAAUAAGUUAGUUUGAAAACGUCAAAUGACAUACAAAUGACAUACAUGAGGAUAUAGAAAAUGUAUUUAACAAACAUAGUCUAAAGCUCCAAUGGCAAUAUGAAAAAAGUCAUUGAACUUUGUUUUUGCCUUUAGAAAAUCAAUUGUUAAUAUANNNNNNNNNNNNNNNNNNNNNNNNNNNNNNNNNNNNNNNNNNNNNNNNNNNNNNNNNNNNNNNNNNNNNNNNNNNNNNNNNNNNNNNNNNNNNNNNNNNNNNNNNNNNNNNNNNNAUAUAUAUAUAUAUAUAUAUAAAGUGCUCAUGUGUAUACCAUAAAAAAAAUGUCAGUCUUGCAUAUUAAACCACUUCCUACUAAUGGAAGAUCUUAAGCCAUCAAUAUUCAUUUAUAAAAUAACAAGCACCAAAAUCCUCGCAAUCUAAAGACAACAAACAAGUGUUCCUCCUACUAAACACGAUCGAACAACCAAUUCACGUAUCCUCGGUGUCAGUGAACUAAAGCAACAAAGGGACACCUCUAAAAUCGAUUCUCCAUCAAGAUAAUACACCUACACAACAGAAAUACACAAAAUCUUAUUUGGAUGUGAUGACGGGUCAGUGUUGACACCAGAGCCGCCCAGUGGAGUGUCUCCCAUCAUCGCUUAACAGGAUGCAGUGUCCUGCUGCUCUGAUACCAUAAAGAACCGAAUAAAGGAAAAACAAUAAUUACAAGAAAUCGAUAUUGACAUUGGAUGAAGAAGGGAUGUAUAUAAUCCCAAAAGACAACCGGAGUACAACGAGAUUUCAAAUAAAAGGAUAAAACAACUAGUAAUUAUCUAAUGUGAUUAUCUAAUAAUGAAACGAUAAACUCCUUUUUUAUGAGGCUUUGCCAGAUUCAUGCACAGUAUAUGCUAAGUGUAGCUACUCGGGAGGGAUUACAAACAACUAUAAAUAACACCACCACAAAAUUCAAUGAGGGAACAAGUAAGCAACUAAGUUGAGGCUCAAAUUUCCCAAAGUAAACAAGAAGUCUGACUAUAGGUAUCAUAUGUCAAAAACUACACAUUUGUUGGUAUACCAUGUUCUUAUGUUAUCAAAUGUGGAUUGGGGAUAUUUGUUCAUCUAUUCAACAUUCAAAGGUUGCAUAUAACUCACCACACAAUCAAUUAAUCAUCAAUCUUAUGUUAUCAACACCAUCAAACUUCCUAGCUUCCAUCCAGAAGAGUUGGUAUAUAUUGAAAUCUGGUGUGUUUAUUUAAAGCAUUCCUUUUCUUAAAAAUCAUUUAUAUUAUUGAGAAGAAGAUUAUAUCAUUGCUUAAAAAUCAUUUAUAUUAUUGAGAAGAAGAUUCUCCAUCAAGAUAAUACACAAACACAGCAACAACAAUAACAAUACACAAAAAUCCUAUCCCACAAACACAAAGCUCCCACCACAUUUAUUUUAUUUAUUUCCACAUUCAGCUCUUAAAAAUGUGAUUUCAACUCAUGUCACAAGUGGCAUAUGAAUUGGACCCGAGGGGAAAAAUGGCCAUACAUAACAUAAGUACUGAUAGAGAAAAUGUUGCUUAAAUCUUGAGCAAUGUACAAUCGCUUAUACAUGAAUACAAGUCAUAGUAGCAUUAUUGUCUUUGAUUACCUUGUUACAGAAACUAUGAUUCCAAGUAUCAUAGUAGCAUUGUUGUUUUUCUUAGCUCGUUACAAUGCUAAUGGAACUUGAUGAAGCCAAAAUCAUACCAGAAAGCUCCAGCAUCAUAACCUGGUUCAGGCAUUUAAUCGAACACUUGUUUUGCAUAUACAAACUGGCCACAUAACCUGGAUGAGCAAGAAUAUCACGAAAAUGACAGCAUAAUAAAGACUCUUUGAUCAUAAUCUCCUUCAGGCAUUUCAUCAAACACUUGGUUUGCAUUAGAAAAGGGACCAAAAAAAAGAUGAAGUUAUCUGUCAGACAACCAUGUAGCCAUGCCAGGACCCAUCAGAUGGAUUAGCAACGAUCAUCUACUGAGCCAUAGCCGAGACCAUGAAGCUCUGUUAAUCACGCUCUGGUUACAUGGUCGUGGUUCAUCAACCAGACAUGGGUUUCUGUCUUCUUAGGAAUCAAGAAUACAGAGGUACGAGCCUAUAGAACAGAUCCUGUUCAAGUAAGGUCGUGCUUAUCAGUCUCUCCAACCCUCAAAUAUCGCCGAUUUAUUUGCACUUCGGAGGCGAUGUGGGAUGUCGCCUCUAGAUUCUUGGCUCUCAUGGAAUAAAGGGACUGGUAAGAAAAUUGAGGGGAACUCAUUCACACACUUUAAGCUUUAGUUACUUUUUAAGGGUUUCGUUUUUCCGUUUAAUAUUUUAUUAAAAGAUCUAAUUUAUUUAUCUUUUCCCAUUUACAUAUAAAAUCAUAUAUAGCAAAUUUUAUUAUUUUUAAGAUUAUAAAAAAUUUAAACAUCUUCUAUUUUUCAAAUAAACUAAAACUUGGUAUAAUAUUGUAGAGGCGGCGGUUCCAUGAACCACGACACGGAACAAAAAUUGGGACGGAAUUGAAAUUAUGAAAUCAUAUUUGUGUCGUUUUCAUGUUAAAUGUAAAACAUACUAUGUCAUGUUAUGUUAUAUUCGUCUUCAAAAUUCUACAUGAAAUUGACAAGUUAGUAACAUGUGUUUGUCAUAUUUUCUUAUUUUUCGUAUUGUAUAUUUUUGAUGUUUGCCAUUUUUAUCAUGUUUUAAUUGGGUCAUUAUCAAAUUUGUUGUUAGUGUCUCGAAAAGGAUUGCGGUGGAGAACCGCAUUUCCAAUGGAUCGUGUGAGUUCGCUGUUCAAGCUGAUAUUCUCACUCUAUGUCCGAGUCAUAGGAAAUUCAGUAUAGGAUAAUCCAAAAGGACAUUUGUGAAUCUAGUUACAAAGACACAAAUCAAAUUACUAGACGAUUUUGAGUUCAUUAUAGAACAACAAGAGCUGAGAGACAAGGGCAUAAUUCACGACUCAAUAGAGGAGUCGUAUUUAUUCUUUGACAAAUUAGAGUUUUUGUCUUCUACAUUAGUUAAAAGAAUCACCGACAAGGGCUCUGCCCCUUCCCGCUAGGAGGCGUUGCCCUUAGGACUCUGCAAAAGAGUGUGACCCCUUGACCUAUGUCAUUUUGUCGUAUCGGCUUAUAAUUAAAUCUUAAAUGCACUCCGCAUUCACUUAUAAAAUACAAAUAAUAAGUCAUUCAGCUCACAUAGUAGUUCCAAUUACACAAAAUAUCUUGCGAUACCAAAAUCACUAAACGUAUAAUAUGGAAUACAAAUAAUAAGUCUUUCAGUUUACAUAUUAGUUCCAAUUACACAAAAUAUCUUGCGAUACUAAAAUCACUAACAUUAAUAAACAAAACACAAUAUCAUAUUGUGUUCAUGUUGUAUAAAAGUUAUCGUGUCAGCAAAAAAAUAUAACACAAAUGAGUAUGAAAGUCCAAGAAAAAAAAAUCCAUUUGAAAGGUAAAAACAUCAUCUUUUGAAAGUAGAUCAUCAAUGUAAAGUCCAUAUUAAAGAGCUUGGGAAUUUAUUUGUUCGUGGUGCUUAAAAGAUCGCAUUUUUUUUUCUAAGGUGUGGGGAUCGGAGUAUAUCAUAAAGUGAUUGGACUUUGUUUUUGCCAUUAUGAGAUCGGUUAUUAAAAAAAAAUGUGCUCAUGUGUAUACCAUAAAAAGUGUCACUCUUACAUAUUAAACAACCUCCUACAAGCAAUUACUAACCAUAAAACCCUUUACUACGAAAUAACAAGGAACAAAAUCACCGAAAUUAAAAGACAACAAAUAAGCGUUCCUCCUACUAAACACAAUUGGACAACCAAUCUCGUAUCCUUGGUGUCAAUGAACUAAAGCAACAAAAAGCCAUGUUUUAAAAUAAACUACAAUUUUGUAUAAACAUAAUGAUGUCAAUUCAUAGCACGAAACGACAAAUAUGCACACGAUAGGAUGGAAUUGGGAUUUGAGUUCAUGUUCAUGUCAUUUUUAUGUCAAAUGUAAAAAACACGACGUCCUAUCGUGUUCAGAUUCUAUACGAAAUUGACAAGAUAGUACCAUGUGUUUGUCAUGUUUUUGUGUUUAUCGUGUUUUGUUGGAUUAAUUUUGAAUUGAAUGAACUUAAAGCUUAUUGUAUUGCAUCUUUUUUGUGUUUGUCAUUUAAUUGGUUUGUUUUCAAAUUAGUAGAACAAAACAUGACAUCAUAUCCUGCUUUGUGUUUGUGUUAAGCACGACAAAACUGUUUGAUUUGUCACCCCUUAAUAAUAUGUAUGAGAAGUCCAAGGAAAAAAUUUAUCCACUUGAAAGGUAAAAACCUCAUCAAUCCAUGUGACACCUGGCAUAUGAAUUGGACUUGAGCGCGACUCAUCAUCUGUACAUAAACAAUUACCAUCAUCUUUUAACAAAUUGCCCCACCAAUCGCCACAUUUUUUUCUCCCCUAACACGCCUUUGGCGGGAAAACAAUAGAUAUGCUCUUUUGUCUGUUGUUGAUCGGUUUCAUUUACUGUCCUUGAAUUAUAUGAAAUGGUGGUAAAUAAAGUGAGGUCGUUUGGACAUGUGAAUUUGUCGUCCACAAUUUUAGCAUUCUUUCUCCAUGCAAUCGCUAAACUCGGGGGAAAAUGCCCUUUAUUGGUUUUAGAUUUUCACUUGUAUAAAAAAUAAGAAAUUUCCAUCCAAUCUCUACUCUUUAGUGGUACAAAUUUGCUUCCCAUAUAACAUGGUAAUUAAGUCGCCAGGAGAUACGUAACCAUACAAAGCAGAAACAUCCAAAACCUAUAAACUGUUUUCCGUAAGUCAUAAAAUAAGAAUAUAGAGUAUAGAUUAUAAACAACAUUAUCAAAUUGAGAAAAGUGAUCCUACAAUUUUAAUGAUAAGAUCCAUUCUUUAAAGAAUUCAUAAACUUAUUAUCAACACCCACAAAGAUUACAAACUUCCAAGCUUCAAACCAGAAGAGUUGGCAUAUAUUGAAAAGUUAGGGUGCUUAUUUAAAGCAUUAUUUUCCUUACAAAUCAUUUCUGUUCUUCAAGUACAUAAGAAAGUUCAUAAAAAAUUGUCAUAUUUCUAUUCCAUAAGCAAACAGAUUAUAACAUUGUUUAUUUGAUUUCCUGAGUUUGUUUACAGGUUCAAAGUCAAUGUAAAAAUCAUAUACAAGAAAGUUGGGCAUUUCAUCGAACACUUGCUAUGCAACCAAAAAGAUAUAGUUGUCUGUCAGACAACCAUGUAGCCAUGCCAGGACCCAUCAGAUGGAUUGGCAACGAUCAUCUACUGAGCCACAGGCGAGACAAUGAAGCUCUGUUAAUCACGCUCUGGUUACAUGGUCGUGGUUCAUCAACCAGACAUGGGUUUCUGUCUUCUUAGGAAUCAAGAAUACAGAGGUACGAGCCUAUAGAACAGAUCCUGUUCAAGUAAGGUCGUGCUUAAUGGUCUCAACAACCAGAAUACAACGCCGAUUUAUCUGCACUUCAGAGGCGAUGUGGGAUGUCGCUUCUAGAUUCUUGGGUCUCCUUUGUUACCUUGUGUAUAGGGACUGGUAAGAAAUUAAGUGGAACUAAUUC